CCAAUCAAACCCAAACCCUCACCGGCCACCGCUCAGUCGCUCAACAGACGCCGCCUCCUCGUCGCCGGCGACCCCAGAUUCAACAUCCGCAUGCUCUAAUCGGGCGCGCAGCUCGGUGAGGAAGGAGAUGGAGGAGUUCCAGGCGGCGGUUCGAGGCGGAGACUCGCGAGGAAGUGCGGAGGCUGAGGCUGAAAUCUACAAUGCAGGAGGUGCAGAGCAGUGCGAUGUACUCGAAGUCUCGAACAACACAGAGAUUGCUGCAGGAGAAGCUAGGAAGCCUGAUCUGACUGCUAAGAAGGCAAAGCUGGGCGAGAGCAUGGCUUCAGCCCGCUAGUUCAGAGCACUGCUUCAGCAGCAGCUCCAGAAAACUUUUCAGUCACAUGGGAUCAGAAAGCAGCUCAAGCUACCAUUUUAAGCAGAUAUUUUUCGUUUCCAGGACACCAAGAAAGCCUUGUUUUGUGGGUAGCACAUUACAAAAUUCAUCUUAAU
rnacentral:misc_RNA from 1 species